GAGCGGAACGAGUUAUCCUGAACCUUUCGGGGGAACGAUAACGGCGUCGUAGCGGCGGUACGGGUGAGUAAUGCCUAGGAAAUUGCCCUGAUGUGGGGGAUAACCAUUGGAAACGAUGGCUAAUACCGCAUGAUGCCUACGGGCCAAAGAGGGGGACCUUCGGGCCUCUCGCGUCAGGAUAUGCCUAGGUGGGAUUAGCUAGUUGGUGAGGUAAGGGCUCACCAAGGCGACGAUCCCUAGCUGGUCUGAGAGGAUGAUCAGCCACACUGGAACUGAGACACGGUCCAGACUCCUACGGGAGGCAGCAGUGGGGAAUAUUGCACAAUGGGCGCAAGCCUGAUGCAGCCAUGCCGCGUGUGUGAAGAAGGCCUUCGGGUUGUAAAGCACUUUCAGUCGUGAGGAAGGCNGNNACGUUAAUAGCNUANUCAUUUGACGUUAGCGACAGAAGAAGCACCGGCUAACUCCGUGCCAGCAGCCGCGGUAAUACGGAGGGUGCGAGCGUUAAUCGGAAUUACUGGGCGUAAAGCGCAUGCAGGUGGUUUGUUAAGUCAGAUGUGAAAGCCCGGGGCUCAACCUCGGAAUUGCAUUUGAAACUGGCAGACUAGAGUACUGUAGAGGGGGGUAGAAUUUCAGGUGUAGCGGUGAAAUGCGUAGAGAUCUGAAGGAAUACCGGUGGCGAAGGCGGCCCCCUGGACAGAUACUGACACUCAGAUGCGAAAGCGUGGGGAGCAAACAGGUAUUAGAUACCCUGGUAGUCCACGCCGUAAACGAUGUCUACUUGGAGGUUGUGGCCUUGAGCCGUGGCUUUCGGAGCUAACGCGUUAAGUAGACCGCCUGGGGAGUACGGUCGCAAGAUUAAAACUCAAAUGAAUUGACGGGGGCCCGCACAAGCGGUGGAGCAUGUGGUUUAAUUCGAUGCAACGCGAAGAACCUUACCUACUCUUGACAUCCAGAGAACUUUCCAGAGAUGGAUUGGUGCCUUCGGGAACUCUGAGACAGGUGCUGCAUGGCUGUCGUCAGCUCGUGUUGUGAAAUGUUGGGUUAAGUCCCGCAACGAGCGCAACCCUUAUCCUUGUUUGCCAGCGAGUAAUGUCGGGAACUCCAGGGAGACUGCCGGUGAUAAACCGGAGGAAGGUGGGGACGACGUCAAGUCAUCAUGGCCCUUACGAGUAGGGCUACACACGUGCUACAAUGGCGCAUACAGAGGGCGGCCAACUGCGAGAGUGAGCGAACCCAAAAAAAGUUGUUAGA
rnacentral:rRNA from 1 species